rnacentral:rRNA from 1 species
AAGCGCUUGCGACCAGACCUGCCCGCGGGCGCUCAGCGGUGGUUCUCCGCCGUGCACUCGUCCGCGACCAGGCCAGCAUCAGUUCCGGCGACCGGAUAAAGGCCCGGGGAACGUAGCUCCUCCCGGGGAGUAUUAUAGCCCCGGGUGCCAUACGGCCAGCUCGGGACUGAGGACCGCGCUUCGGCAAGGAUGCUGGCAUAAUGGUCUUAAG